rnacentral:rRNA from 1 species
AGAACGAACGCUGGCGGCAUGCCUAAUACAUGCAAGUCGAACGAAUGCCCUUCGGGGUGUUAGUGGCGCACGGGUGCGUAACGCGUGGGAAUCUGCCCUUGGGUUCGGAAUAACAGUUAGAAAUGACUGCUAAUACCGGAUGAUGACGUAAGUCCAAAGAUUUAUCGCCCAGGGAUGAGCCCGCGUAGGAUUAGCUAGUUGGUGGGGUAAAGGCCUACCAAGGCGACGAUCCUUAGCUGGUCUGAGAGGAUGAUCAGCCACACUGGGACUGGAGACGACGGCCCAGACUCCGUACGGGAGCAGC